AACCUAGCACACCUGCGGUGUGUACCUGCGGAAGGAUCAUUAACAAGCCGUGGGGGUCACCCCGAAAGGGGCAGAUCUCUCACCCGGCCACCCUUGUUUACUUUAUGCCUGUUGCUUUGGUGGGCCCGCCGUAAGGCCGCCGGGGAAACUGAGUUUCCGGGCUCGUGUCUGCCAAGGUUUUUAAAUCUCCAAGGUGUUUUGAAUGUCUGAGUGGCAAAGCAAAAACUAAUAAAAAACUUU
rnacentral:misc_RNA from 1 species